rnacentral:rRNA from 1 species
AUAGAUAGUCGGGCUUGAUUGGGAAACAAUAACAUGGUUUAUGUGCUCGUUCUGGGUAAAUAGAGUUUCUAUCAUUUAUGGUAGUUUCUUGUUCCCCGGAUAGUUUAGUUACGUAGCCAAUUGUGGAACUUUCUUGCUAAAAUUUUUAAGAAUACUAAUUGGGCAACCAAUUAGUUCUUUUAAAUUAUAACGAUUAUCAAUUAACAAUCAAUUCAGAACUGGCACGGACUUGGGGAAUCCGACUGUCUAAUUAAAACAAAGCAUUGUGAUGGCCCUAGCGGGUGUUGACACAAUGUGAUUUCUGCCCAGUGCUCUGAAUGUCAAAGUGAAGAAAUUCAAGUAAGCGCGGGUCAACGGCGGGAGUAACUAUGACUCUCUUAAGGUAGCCAAAUGCCUCGUCAUCUAAUUAGUGACGCGCAUGAAUGGAUUAACGAGAUUCCUACUGUCCCUAUCUACUAUCUAGCGAAACCACAGCCAAGGGAACGGGCUUGGAAUAAUUAGCGGGGAAAGAAGACCCUUUUGAGCUUGACUCUAAUCUGGCAGUGUAAGGAGACAUAAGAGGUGUAGAAUAAGUGGGAGAUAUUAGAUUUCGGUUUAGUAUCGACAAUGAAAUACCACUACUCUUAUUGUUUCCUUACUUACUUGAUUAAAUGGAACGUGUAUCAUUUCCUAGCCAUUAUACGGAUAUAUUUAUUAUAUCUUAUGGUAUUGGGUUUUGAUGCAAGCUUCUUGAUCAAAGUAUCACGAGUUUGUUAUAUAAUCGCAAACAAGUUAUUUAAUGAGAGAGUGCAUUUAUGUAUUUUUGAUUUAAAAAUUUGGUAUAACUCCAAUUACUCAGGUAUGAUCCAAUUCAAGGACAUUGCCAGGUAGGGAGUUUGACUGGGGCGGUACAUCUCUCAAAUAAUAACGGAGGUGUCCCAAGGCCAGCUCAGUGCGGACAGAAACCACACAUAGAGCAAAAGGGCAAAUGCUGACUUGAUCUCGGUGUUCAGUACACACAGGGACAGCAAAAGCUCGGCCUAUCGAUCCUUUUGGUUUAAAGAGUUUUUAACAAGAGGUGUCAGAAAAGUUACCAUAGGGAUAACUGGCUUGUGGCGGCCAAGCGUUCAUAGCGACGUCGCUUUUUGAUCCUUCGAUGUCGGCUCUUCCUAUCAUUGUGAAGCAAAAUUCACCAAGCGUUGGAUUGUUCACCCAUGCAAGGGAACGUGAGCUGGGUUUAGACCGUCGUGAGACAGGUUAGUUUUACCCUACUAAUGACAAAACGUUGUUGCGACAGCAUUCCUGCGUAGUACGAGAGGAACCGCAGGUACGGACCAAUGGCACAAUACUUGUUCGAGCGAACAGUGGUAUGACGCUACGUCCGUUGGAUUAUUCCUGAACGCCUUUAAGGUCGUAUUCCGUGCUGGACUGCAAUGAUAAAUAAGGGGCAAUUUGCAUUGUAUGGCUUCUAAACCAUUAAAAGUUUAUUAUUUAUUUAAUAAACGACAAUGGAUGUGAUGCCAAUGUUACAUAUAACAUAGUAAAUUGGGAGGAUCUUCGAUCACCUGAUGCCGCGCUAGUUAUAUAUUAAAACAUUAUUUAAUACAAUGACAAAGCCUAUAAUCAAUUGUAAACUACUUUUAUAACAGGCAAGGUGUUGUAAGUGGUUGACCAGCUGCCAUACUGCGAUCCACUGAAGCUUAUCCUUUGCUUGAUGAUUCGA